rnacentral:rRNA from 1 species
UGUUUCGGCUAGGGGGCCAUCCCGGCUUACCAACCCGAUGCAAACUGCGAAUACCGGAGAAUGUUAUCACGGGAGACACACGGCGGGUGCUAACGUCCGUCGUGAAGAGGGAAACAACCCAGACCGCCAGCUAAGGUCCCAAAGUCAUGGUUAAGUGGGAAACGAUGUGGGAAGGCCCAGACAGCCAGGAUGUUGGCUUAGAAGCAGCCAUCAUUUAAAGAAAGCGUAAUAGCUCACUGGUCGAGUCGGCCUGCGCGGAAGAUGUAACGGGGCUAAACCAUGCACCGAAGCUGCGGCAGCGACACUGUGUGUUGUUGGGUAGGGGAGCGUUCUGUAAGCCUGUGAAGGUGUGUCGUGAGGCAUGCUGGAGGUAUCAGAAGUGCGA